rnacentral:lncRNA from 1 species
CCUUUGGAGGAUGUGAACUCUCCUGGGAUGAUGUACAUUCCAAAUAGCGAGUGCACAGGCUAGACCUUCAGUGUUCAGUAACGAGACCGACCUGAUCCUGAUCAGUAGUCAGGGGUUGCCGGCAGUGGAAGAACAAAGAGAUGCUCUGUACCCACUGAAGACGAAGGCUAUGGGCUGACAAGCCUAGCAUCGGUGGUCAGCCAUUUUGCCAUUAGUGCUAUGAAGAGAAGGCCUUUUCCUCAGGACCAGAAGUGCUCUGCGCUCUGCUAUUAACCCCAUGAAAAGAGUUCUUUCCAGAUAAGCGGAUACUUGCGGCUGCGUGGAGUGGAUCCCAGUCCCAGUUUGCUACCAGCAAUCCCAACCCAAGACACAGAUGAGCAUUGUCUGGGAAAGCACACUGUCGUCACCUGCCUCCCCCAUCCCGGUCCCCACCACUCUCUGACUGAUGCCAUCGCCUAGAUGAUAAAGCGCCCGUCACUCAAGCACAGAAGUCGAAAUUCAUAGUUCAUUUCUUUACUUAUGUAAGAUCAUUCACUGACAAAAGAACUCAAAUGGAAAGGCUUUGGGCAUAUGCAGAAACGGGGAGAAAAAAAUAAUCUCUCCGAGUCAGAAGCCUCGGGGGAGCAUAGCAAGACUUAUCAAAGUUACAGUGCUCCAUUUGGAAAGCGCCAACCGCCAGCCCUCGGGCGAGGUGCAGUGGUGCAUAAUUAAUGUAGUCCCAGACACAGGUCACUGAAGUGCCCCACAGGUGUGUGCCUGGUUUUCAAUAAGGCCUUUCCCUCGGAACUCCUCUUCCGACUUUGAGUUUGUGCUCCCGGAAGCCUUGCACGAUCGGGAGAAUUCAGAAGAACGAUCUGAAUGCCCAUCAAUAGAAAAUGGCAAGAAAUUACGGCAGAUCUAGUCUCUGGAAUCCUAGGUAUUUGGGGAAAAGAAGCAAGCUGGGUCCCAAAACACUGAUAUAGAAAAGUGGCUGUAGUUUUUGUUGUUGGUGUUGUUUUGUUUUUGCUUUUCAUCAGGAAGGCAAAUAGAAAAAGGUUCACAAUAUUCCAUUUUUUGCAAGACUUCCAUUUUUCAAGUAAGUCUUUGUCCUGAAGGUCACACCAAUGCCCUCAUUAUAUAUGCCCUUCCUGCAAUAUGUGGCUUUUCUGGGUUUCCUGAGCAGGCUGCAGUUUGAGUUUGAACCCUGGGCCUACAGGUGCACAGAUGCUAUCAGCAUUGAUUUGUCCCUCUCGAGACUUUCCAGAUUUGGAGACGUGCCACGCAGUGGAGCGUGAUGACUGUCCAAGAGCUGUUAAGGAGCUACCUCGUGCCCCCGACCACAACCCCCUGCGCGCGCCCCCUGGCGGGGAAGAGGCUUGGCCCCCAUGGGAUAUCAGAAGCAGGAGAACCCUAAGAAAGCGCCCCUCCCUCUGUGCUUGAGGAGACUACUCCGAAGUGGGAUUUCUUCCCGCAAACUUUUCCAGAAGAAUCCGGCGUGAGAAGUAGACACACCUGCUGAAACCGGCCAGCACAGCUACGCAUCCCAUCACUUCAUUGUUUCUGGAUUAACUUCCGGUUGUUUUGUUUUAUUUAACUUUCUCCUUCACCAGCCUUGCUUGCUUUUCCCAAAUAAAGUGGACCCCGAUAAUCCUUGCUGUCUGCUCAUUCUUCAGGCCGGAGGAGCCAGGCUAAGACCACAAGCAAUGAUGAGUGUGUCCCUACGGGGACACUUGCGCCUUUGUAAGAAUACAGGCAUAUGAGGGGCACCCAGCACGCCUAACACUGCCUGCCUUUGCCGCUGCUUUUUCUUUUUCUUCUUCUUCUUUUUUUUUUUUAAUGGACGUGCUUUGUUUUGUGUAUUUAUUAAACAGUGGUAGUUAAAUGUCUUUGCAACAAGCCUAGCACAGUGUAUUUCUCAGGCGUGUGCUUGAGCCUAACCUUAAACUGUCGCAUGGCUCAGGUGAAAUUGCUCUCUGGGACUCCUAAACUCUUCCAUCUGGUACUGCAGUCAAUCUUGCUCGCCCGGGCACACACACGCACACACACACAUUUCUUCCUUGCUAGAAACCUCAGAUCUGUUUUGUUUGUUUUCACUGUUUCCCUUUGCCCUCUUGGGAUUGUGAGGGAAAACUCAAAGGACCAGAACCAUGAUGUAUUAGGCAACUGUGGAGAUGCCUACACCCAAAGGUUUUGGCUUCUAAGGUUAUAAAUCCGUUCACCCUUUAAAUUAGCUGUUAUAUUACUUGCCUUCAAAGACUCCUGACAACCCACGCACACAUGAAUCUAUUCACCGGAGUGUGUGUAUGUGAAUAAUUUCUUGCGUCAUGCGUGUCACCAGAGAUUGGGAGACAGUUAAGGUGGUUACCUUACCUUCAUAAUCCCAGCUCGUAGCAUUCAUACAUAGUGGCUCUCAGCGAACACCUCCUGAAGUGAUUGGUUCAUUCAUCUCAUCCUGCAAUUUACAUAGUAUAUGUAUUGCACACCUAGUAGGGAGUUAAGGAAAGGAGGGUAAAGAAGAACCAGAACGUGUGGCUGGAAUCGCGUCUGACCCAAAAAAGCUGAAGGCUCUAAAGAAAGUUAGCAAACAAAACCGACCAUCAAAGCGAUUAAAUCCCUAUCGUGAUGGAGUACUGUAAGACACAAGCAAUCGCUGCCGGAGCUGAUAGAUUCUUCUGCACCUUUUUGUGUCUAG